UAAAAUAAAUGCAAAGAAAUUAGUGAAUAGAGAUUAUUAAUUAUUGUUAAUAACAGAUUUAUGAUCAACAAAUUUCUUUCACCCAACCUGGAUUUUCUCAUCCUAUUCUCUCUGUACUUGAUCCUCAGUAAGGAGCAAGAGGAAAAAAUGCUAUUUAGAUGAAGAUAUUUAAAUUUGCAUCCCUUUCUUCUUCUAGGCAGGCCUAUUUAUAGAUUUCCUAUUGGGGUUUUGGAAGCAAUUAGGUCUUUUUGGUAAGUGACAAGUGGCGGUCAUCUAGUGGUAAAUUUCUAACUAAUUCUGUUAUAGGUUCGCGUUUUAUCCACCAACUUCAUUCAUUGGUUCUGAAAUCAUGUUUUAAGCAUUUACUCAUUUGUGCCUUUAUAACAGUUACUUUAUGAAAACAGUUAGCCACAGUAGUUGCAAACUCUUAUGCAAUGAAUGCUCACUUUUACUUGCACACCUAUUAUUCUCAAUGAGUUCGCAUGAGUUUGCCUUGUUGUUUAUUCGGUUUAACAAUUAUUAAUUGCUCCCCUCCUUUCAAUCUUUAACAGUUUCCUCCAAUUCUGAAAUAGUAAACUUCUUCACCUUUCUCCUUUCAUUCUUCUUCAUUCUUCAUCAUAGAAUGUUCAAUUAAAGGCGGCCCACUAGAAUUCUUCAAACAUUUUGAUAGCUCACAUUUCCAAGACGAAAUAUGUGAACACAAAUUCCCAUCAAAACCACAUUUCCUGAAAAAAAAAAUCUAUCUGAUUUUCCUAUAAACUCACUUAAAAACCGAAAUAGACCCCGGGAAAACCAAUCAAAUUGAAAGAGCUUCAGGCCGAACCCAAACAACAAUAAAUAUACAGACAGACAUAAAUAUUCAAAAACUUGAACAAAAUCACUAAAUUUCUUGUAAUAAGUGAUACAAUCCAUCAAAAUGUGGCAGAAAUAAAUACAUAAAAGAAUGAAACAGAAAAAACGACACCUGAGAGUCGAGAAGUCGCUGGUUAAGUCAAUAUGGCAGAAAACUCACCUGACGGUUAGCGAAUUUUUUGGGUUGUGAGUAUGGCCAAUUCUUCAACCCUUUUGCACUUGUUUGUUCGUCUUCCCCGUCUUGUUCGUAGAAUAGAGUAGACAAGCACUACUGAACGAAGUCCCCUAAAUAUGAUUGAUUUGAGGAAAUGGCUUUGUUUUGUCGGAUAUCUGGGCCUCGUAACCCAGAUUUGCGGCACCUCAACGGGCCAUUACUUUCCG
rnacentral:lncRNA from 1 species